AUAGGGUCCUGUGCUUCCUCUCUCUCUCAACAUUAAUACAGUUCUUUGAGUUGUAGUAAUAAGUAGAGAAAAGAUCUUUUUAGAAGAGAAAAAAAACAAAACAGAACCUGGGACUCUUCAGUUUAAGGUUAGUGUACCAGCUACUGAAUUGAUUUUACAUCCUUGCAUUUCAAUUCAGAAUCUUUGUGGCUGCUUCUGUG
rnacentral:lncRNA from 1 species